UGGAUAUACAAGCGGAGGAGGAGGAGGAGGAAGAGGGGUAGGGUUAGGGUUUGCAAGCGGUGUAGGUGGAGUUGGAUUAUUAGUUGAAGUAGAAGGUGGAGGAGAAAAAGCAAUGGUGUUAUCAGAAGAAGGAGGAGUUGGUGAUGUUGUUGGGAGGUUGAAAAUGGGGGAAGGAACAAAGGUAGUAGUAACAGUAGGAGGAGGAGGAGGAGGAGAAUAAGUGACGGUGGUGGUGCAAGAUGAAUAAUCAUCAGAGGAGCAUUUGGUGCGGUGGUGACGGUGGCGGAGGAGGCGGAAUCCUAGUACAAGACCAAGAACAAUGAACACAGUGAGUAAGAAGAAGAAGAUCUUUGUUGCUUUACCAACAUAGCACAUAAUUCUGAAUCUGAGUUUCAAAGAUUGAACUGUGGUAAGAGGUUACAAUAGACAUAAACUGAAUUUGACCCUUGGAUUUGGUUAUUAGGUAGCUUUAAUUUAUGACUGUGUCCACCUACACCAAAUAAACAAAGAUUCUUUAUAGUAUUUUACUUAUUCCAAUCAAUAAAUAUGGAAUAUCAAAUGAAAUAAUAAGAAGGUGGAUACAAAAUUGAGGUGAACGAGGAUGGAUCACAAGUUACAAUAAUUAUUCAACCGUUAAAAGUGGGGAUAGUCUAUAUAUAAUUAUUAUCAUACACAAUCUAUCCUGACAGACAUGCAUGUCUGCCACAUCACCCUUCCUUCCCUCCUCUCCUCCAAUUACUUCACUCCAUCGUGAAGAAUAUCACAUAUCUCAUAAUUUUUCUUUCCUCAUAUUGUAAAUCAAUCAAACUUCUCGAAAUAAUAUUAAAAUAGUAAUUCUUUUUAUAAUUUUUCUUUUUAAAUGAAUGAAGUUUUUUAAUUUGUUUGGGACACCAUAUGAGACAUGAAUGAGGAUAUGUGAUCCACAUCCCUCCACCGUACCUUCAUAUCUAAAGGAAAAUGAUAUAUGUCACUUAUAAACUAAUCACUAGUAAAUAACAUAUGUGCAUAUAAAUAAAUAAUAAAAUAAGAUACUAAUUAUGUAUAAAUCUUUAUACUAAUAGUAUAUAAAUAUUACAAGAUUACCCUAAGCUAAUACGUGUGUUUUAAGCAUUUCAAAUUUUAUUCUUCAUGUAAUUAUAAUUCAAAAUUUAAAUCAACAUUUCUUGCAGGAAGAGAACGGGUUAUCCUAAAUAUUUGUCACCUUAGAUUUAAAGCUAAUUCGACCCUAAAUGUUGAUUGUGUCUGUCUUUGAACCCAAACUCGACCAUAGACUCAGUUAAAUAUAAUGCAUAUAUGUUAGAUUAUUUGGCGUAUAAAAUUAUAUAUAUGUUCUUAAUCAUGUAUAUGUUAUGAAAAAUUAGAUAAUAAGUGGGAAAAUUUACGUGGAUAGUGUAGUCAAACUACACUAUCACACGUUUGGUAUAUGUUUCAAAAUAUUUACGGAAGUGUAUUUUUAGGGAAGUCGUGGAUGGUACCCACGACUUUGGGGGAAAGUCGUGGAUGAGAUCCACGAUUUUGGGGAAGUCGUGGAUCCCAUCCACGACUCCCUGACAUAUUCUCUCUCCAUGGAAGUCGUGUACCCUAAACACGACUUCCAUUGUAUAAUAAUGACAAAAGAGAUAUGUAGCCUAGUGGUUCUUGGAUUUUAUGGAAACCUAGAGGUCUAUGGUUCAACACCCACCUAUUGUUUUUUUUAUUUAACUUUUUUUAUAACUUUGACAUAUAUUAUUUUUACAAGGAUAUGAUACAUUAUGGUUAAAUUGCAUUAUAUUCAUUACUGAAUUUUGUACAUUUUUAUUUUAUAUUGUUUUAAACAAUUAGGUAAUGUAUAAAAUUUGGUAGUGAAUAUAAUGCAAUAUACUCAUAAUGUAUCAUAGUUCUAUAUUUAAAAAGAAAGAACUUAAGACAGGAACAAAAAGAGCAAAGAUUCAAGCUCCAUAGAAAAAGAGAAUUGACACUAGAGUAUUGAAGAAUACCUCAUAGUAUUUUAUUAUUAAAUUGAAUGAAAAAGUAAGCUAAUAUGACUUAUUUAUAUAAGAGAAAAAAAAAAAAUUUAUAAAACAAGCAAACUUACACAAACCUAAUUAACUAAUUCUUAACUUCCUAAUUAACUAAGCGACCAUCUUCCGAAAAUUACCCGUAAAAUAUCUUUAAUAAUGUAUGGAUUUAUGGUGAUGGCAUAAAAUUUGUUACCAUUGUAACAAAUGAUUGCAUAAACUAAUUAAAUAGUUUAGAAAAUGACUUUUAUCCUAUGCAAUUUAAGAAGAAACUGUAGUACAUUGCAGAUGACAAUUUUGAGAAAAAUAUAUAUACCAAAGAAGCUACUCCAAAUUGAUUUUCUAUUAAAUACACAUUCUAUAUUUAUUUGUUAAGCAAUCCUUCACGAAUAUUUAACCCAUUAGACAUAUUUUUUAUUGUUAUUAUCAUAUGCCCUUUAUAUUAUAGUGAAUCUACUAUUAUUCCUGCCAUAUACAAAUGAAUGAAUACUUCUACAUCUUUGCACAUUAUUACGACCCUUUUCCAUUUGCCAAAUAAAAUUUUCAAACAACAUUCCAAGUUAAACAAUUGGAUCCCCCUUCAUCCUUUCUAACUACAUGUUACAUCAAUCAAGCUAAUGAAGCAAUUACACAUUAUUAUUAUUAUUAUUAGAAUAAUAAGGAGAGUAAAUUAAUCUACUAUCAAAAAUAUUAUUAGAGAAUAAGAUUAACAAUUCUAACCAUAUAAGUGCUAUACCUUAUUGGGUCGAGUUAGAAUCAUCUCUAGACUGAAACAAUCUUAGUUCAUUCGGAUCAUGGUUGGUGUCGAUCCACGACUGUGGCCUUGAGCAUGGAACACUCCACAAGCAUGCAUGGGGGCUUCUAGGGUUGUGGAGCAUAGAAAACCGUGAUCCGGUUUUAUCUACUCAUUUGUACAAAAUAACAUCCGGAUUAGCUUGAGACAGGGAGUGUGACACUGGGAUCAGUCCCGAUACAAGAUGACAUCAUAUAAAGGCCAAUUGACUGCAUCAGAAUCCAAUGACCGCAAUAGCAUGGACUGGUCCAGGAGAUACCAACGCCGAACCCGGUGUAGGUGUGUCCAUUGGCGGUGCUGCAACACUCGGAGGACUAGUCUCCGGCGGUGGUGGAUAUACAAGCGGAGGAGGAGGAGGAGGAAGAGGGGUAGGGUUAGGGUUUGCAAGCGGUGUAGGUGGAGUUGGAUUAUUAGUUGAAGUAGAAGGUGGAGGAGAAAAAGCAAUGGUGUUAUCAGAAGAAGGAGGAGUUGGUGAUGUUGUUGGGAGGUUGAAAAUGGGGGAAGGAACAAAGGUAGUAGUAACAGUAGGAGGAGGA
rnacentral:lncRNA from 1 species